GGCGGUCUGAUUCUUGGAGUAGCUGCCGCAUGGGAGGAGGGAAAAACAAAGUAAGGGAAUUAGAGCAACCUUGCAUUGCUCCACCAACAUAUGCCACUGGACCAGUGUUUUUCUUGGCAAAGAUUUCUGACAAGCAGUUUAAAAGCUGUGUUUCAGCCUUACUGCAAACUGUGAACCUCACUACAGGCAUCAACCAAGCAACUGUCCCUGGCUCUUCUGCUGAAACUCCAAAUGUUUCUCCAUGGAAAGAGACUGUCGAGUCUAAGGUUUCCCUGUUCCACUUCCAUGGUGGGGUGCAGUGUUGAUAAGGUUAUCAACAAUAAUGAGAUUAAAAGUUAAAAUCCAGCUUUUGCACUAAUCCCAGAGUAUUCUAUUGUUGAGCUAUCAAAGAUUAAGGUUAUAGUAACCUUAUUAACCCUUGAUGUAGUGUAAGUUAAAAGGAAAUGUCAGACCUAAUUCCACCAUGAAAUUAAAUCUUCGCUUCCCUCUCAUCAUUUGAUGAUUCAAACACAGCUUAGUCCAGACAAUAUGUGCUAUGAAAAUAAUAAACUCACAUGAGUAUAAGAAAUUCCAUCUGAGAGACAGAGGGAGAAAGGGACAAUAAUACAUGGGUUAAUUUUGUUUAAAAUUAAAAAAUAAUGUUAAUUCAACCACCAUGUGUUCAGGAGCUAUGCAGCUAGAGCCAGCAGAACAUGUGAAGAAGUAAGGAUCCAGCUGAUGCAGACCUCUGUGGUGCAACAAACAUAGCUCUGUAAUCUGCAGCAGCUCACAUCUGGCCCUGGGCAGAGCAAUUUGUUGUGCAUUGGGCGGGAGCUGUGAUGGCCUCCUUGUCCCCUUCUCUUGCUUGCUGUGUGGCCUUAGUUAUUUCUGCCCAGUGCUAUGGCUGGGUACCACAACACAAGAACUUGAACAUUUCUGCAGAGGUGCUUUGAGUACAAGGGAUGAAGUGAUGAAAACGAAAAUGCGUCAGGAAAAAAAUGAAUGCUGAUCUUUCUGGCAAAGUAGAACCAGGUGCUGGUGUAACAGGCACAGGUUUUCUUGGCUAAGCUGAUUUACAUUGCAUCAAGGAAGUGCCCUCUCACCUGUGCUGAACAUGACCCCUGCUCCCUCCUGCCGAGCCCAUAAGUAGAGCUGAGAGGCUGCUCUGUGACUGAUCUUCUUUGUGCAGAGGGGAAUAUGUUGACUAGUUGAUCAAGAUCUGCUUACAUGUUGAUGGGAAGUAGUCCAGGCUCCUGAGAGAGGGUGAGGGGUGACCUCUGAGCCCCUCCAAAACCAAAGCCUCAUGUCCACUCUCGCUAACGUUACCAGUUCUGCAAGGGACUUGCAUCGUGCUGAAGUGUGGACACAUGAGAGGAGAACAACCCAUCUAGCACGGGACACUUGGAGGAGUGGUAUUGUGUGCUCCAAAAAUGCGAGAGGAAUUGAAGGGGAGCCCCAGACCUGCCUGUGGUCGGCAAUCUCUGACUUCGGCCACACCGCGCAGAUGGAGCAACAUCCCGUGUGCCUGAUCGCUGCAUGAAGCUGCCCAUGAGCUGGCACCCUGACCCAACAGAGAUGCUGCCAGUCCCAGCUCCACCCUGCUAGCUGCUGCCUGCCCACCUGCCUUCUUCCCCCAAGCCAUGGCCCACACACCACCAACACUGCCAUCUCCGUUGCUACCCACAGCACAAAUGCAACGUGGAACAGCGAGUGUGGCUUGAGCAGGCUGAGCUUGUUAAAAGUGUGGUUAAAUAAAUAGUAGGACUGUAAUACUGGGAGGCUGACUGGGAUCGCAAGAUAUCAGUGUCGUAUCCUGUGGCUUUUAUGUAGGGAGAUGUAGAUUUUAGCCAUCACCAUCUGGCUAUCCAACAGAUAAUAACUAGAGGAAAUGGACUUGCAAAUCUUUAGUUGCGAAUAACUGAUAUAUUGUUGCCAGUAAUUUGAGGACCUGGUAAACUGCCAGUAGGAAAAGUUUUUUUUGGAUAUGAUCAGACUUCUAAUACGUGUCAGCUUUUGGCUAUGCAUAAAUUAAAGAAACUUCUUAAUUAUCCACCAUACAUUUUAAACUGCGUGUCCAGAGAACUCAGAUCCUGUAGAACCCAGAUGUGGCUAUCAGCUCCAAAUUCAGGCAAGUAAAUAAAGUAGUGACUCAACUGGUUAUCUUCACAGUACAGAUCGGCCACCACAGUAUCCAGGUGUGAGUUAAAUGCUAUGAGAAAAGAACAAGAAAUAAGCAAAAAAUACAGUAGUGUAGAAUGUGCUUGUGAUUAACUUCUAGAAAAUCUCAACAGCUGGAAUUUUAGAAUGUGAUAUUUAGAAAAAUAUAAAGAGAAAAACAUAUUUAGUGUGUUUUUCUCCAGAGAAAAAAUGCAAUAGGCAUAUAGAUCAAAUUAUAAUACUUAGUAUUUCAAGGACAAAUUCCAGUUGAGGAUCAUGAAGUAAUUGAAAAAUAUUAAUGAUUUAGUCUCACAGCUGGAUUUCAGGUAGAUAAUAAUGAUAAUUAUUGUUACAAAUAUAUACCAUCAUUCUUGCUCUGAAAUGAAAAUUGAGGCAUAGAGGUUUUAUGUAUUUGUCCAAAGUCUGUUUUACUGCUGUAACCAUCCUUCUACAGAAUUACUGUGUAUUAAGUGUGCCCUUUUUCAAAUAUUGUACGUGACAUACUAUUCAGUUCAUGAAUUCUAAAAACCAAGCAGCUGAGCUUCCUUAUGAAGCAGUGCCUGUGAACAUCUCCAUUUGCAUUUGAAUCCUCAAGCAGUGACAAUCCUGCUUAAAAAAAAAAAAAAGAAAAGAAGAAGGGAACGAUGAAAAUCAGAACAAAAUCUGUCAAGGGCCCAUCUGUGACUGCAUAUCAGAAUAUCACUAAGAUGCUCUGAGGAACAAAGUUUUCUCCAAGUCUAACACAUAGUGCAUUUUUGUCUAUGGAAAUAAUUCAAGAUGGGUGAAAUGAGGGCAAAUAACAUGAAAAACUCUGUUUCCCUACUGAACAGUGCAGGAAAGCAGCAUCUCUGUUUCAUGGAUAAUCUUGUUUGUGAUACAUGUACAAAUGAUUAAAUACUAAAGGUUUUACAUAAAAAAAUACUCAGCUUGCUCACAUCUGCUUUAGAUAAGCAUGCAUAACUGUUGCUUCCAGUGAAGCAGCCAGGGGUCUUUGGCCCUGGUAGGUGAGAACUUAGGUUAGGUGUUUGUGGCAAGCUUUCAUAGCCUGCUACCUGAAGCAGCAGGAAAACAAAAGGAUAAACUCCACCCUGGCCUUAUCAAUACUCUUGAAACCACACCUAUUUUCUUCUGAAUAGGAACACACAAAGUUAGAUAAACUAUUUGUAAGCUGUUUAAAUCUCCUCUUCGGGAUCUGAAUUCCUGCAAGCCUUAGUCAUAGCUCUUUGCUCUCACAUAUGCAAUAUUUGGAACUGGUUACUGGAAAUAGGAGAAACAUGGUGUUGUUCUAAUGCACUGUAUUUUUUUUCCUUCUAUUUCUUAACUGUUAGAGUAUGCAAAUAUUUAGUUAACUGGUCUUUUUAUUGAAUUGCUUUCACUAUGGCAAAUAAAUAUUCAUAAAGAUAUGUGGACAAUAAA